UACGUAGGGGUCCCGAGCGUUUGUCCGGAAUUAUUGGGGCGUAAAGGGCUCGUAGGCGGUCUGUUGCGUCGGGGAGUGAAAACUUACAGCUUAACUGUGAGCGUGCUUUCGAUACGGGGCAGACUUUGAGGCAUUCAGGGGGAGAACGGAAUUACCUGGUGUAGCGGUGAAAUGCGCAGAUAUCAGGAGGAACACCGGGUGGCGAAGGCGGUUCUCUGGGAAUGUCCUGACGCUGAGGAGCGAAAGUGUGGGGAGCAAACAGG
rnacentral:rRNA from 1 species